CAAGCAUGGCACAAGCAGCCAUCUUUGUACAACUUAUUUAAAACACACAUAUACUAUACAUGCAAAAAGUGGGCAAACAAAGACCCAACAGCAAUCGAUACCUUAAUAACUCCUUUAAAACUCAAAGAUGACAGGAAAUGGCCUUUAUUAUUUAGCCCAUGUUCCGGAGGAAGUCGGAUCUGAAUUUUCAAUUUAAACAGUAAGAAAAAAAACUACUUCCACAUCCGGUGCGGAAUAAUUAUCUGCUAAGCCAAAAAGCCAAUACACUGCGCCAAGUCCGACUUUUUAAUAACAUGGAUCAGCCUUUCGUCCCUAAAGGUAGAAGUUACAGAACUCGAAUCACGCAAAAAUGGAAGUCGCGAUCGUAUGGCAGCUCGGAAGAUGUAACUUUGCACGAAUAAGUGAAAUUUCGGAAAGCAGAAGCCCAAAGAUGGCGCCGACACGACACCGGAAGUGGAUAGUGAGACGAAGCCUCACGCUGUAUGGCGGAGGGAUACUAAUAAAUGGACAAAUACAAUCGGA